GUCUAUGGCCAUACCACCCUGAAUGCACCCAGUCCUGUUUGAUUUUGGAAGCUCAGCAGGGUCGAGCCUGGUUACUACUUGAAUGGGAGACUUCUGGGGAGUACCAGGUGCUAUAUAGG
rnacentral:rRNA from 1 species